UACGUAGGGGGCAAGCGUUGUCCGGAUUUAUUGGGCGUAAAGAGCGUGUAGGCGGCCAAGCAGGUCAGCUGUGAAACUCGAGGCUCAACCUCGAGACGUCGGUUGAAACCGCGUGGCUAGAGUCCGGAAGAGGAGAGUGGAAUUCCCGGUGUGAGACGGUGAAAUGCGCAGAUAUCAGGAAGAACACCCGUGGCGGAAGGCGGCUCUCUGGGACGGUACUGGACGCUGAGACGCGAAAGACGUGGGGAGCGAACAGG
rnacentral:rRNA from 1 species